UGGCGUAUAGUUUAAUGGUAAAACAGCAGUCUCCAAAACUGUUAGAUGUGAGUUCAAAUCUUGCUACGCCAG
rnacentral:tRNA from 1 species